AGUGAACGCUGGCGGUAGGCUUAACACAUGCAAGUCGAGCGGCAGCGCGGGGCAACCUGGCGGCGAGCGGCGGACGGGUGAGGAAUUCGUCGGAAUCUGCCUUUUUGUGGGGGAUAACGUAGGGAAACUUACGCUAAUACCGCAUACGACCUACGGGUGAAAGUGGGGGACCGCAAGGCCUCAUGCAGAAAGAUGAGGCGACGACCGAUUAGCUAGUUGGUAGGGUAAAGGCCUACCAAGGCGACGAUCGGUAGCUGGUCUGAGAGGACGAUCAGCCACACUGGGACUGAGACACGGCCCAGACUCCUACGGGAGGCAGCAGUGGGGAAUAUUGGACAAUGGGCGCAAGCCUGAUCCAGCCAUGCCGCGUGUGUGAAGAAGGCCUUCGGGUUGUAAAGCACUUUUGUCCGGAAAGAAAUCUUCCAACUUAAUACGUUGGGAGGAUGACGGUACCGGAAGAAUAAGCAUUGGCUAACUUCGUGCCAGCCGCCGCGGUAACAC
rnacentral:rRNA from 1 species